ensembl:lncRNA
GCCAACAGGAGAGGCUCGGGAGCGAGCCGGGGUGCAGGGAACGCCACCGCCGUGUCGGCAGAGCCGUGCUGCUCCCAGCCCGUGCUGCCUGCUUGCUGCAGGCUUUGUGCUGCUUGGGGAGCUGCCGUGAGUUCCUGAAUGGGAUGGGGUUGGUUAUGGUGUGUGCUAACUUAGCGGUGCCCGGGGUAUGAGUCAGUGUGCUCUUUGCACUGCUCUGCACCCGCGGGUCUGUAGGGAUUUGUUAACCCCGAGUGCUUCUCUGCUUUCAGACGUGGCUCACACCAGGCUGAGUGCUGCAGGGCUGCGCUCUGCUCCUCUGGCUGCUGCAGGGCCUGAGGGUGGGCACUGGGGGACACCGGGAUCCCCGCCGGCUUCGUCUGUGAGAGGCACGGCCAGAACUGGCUCAGACCUGACCAUAGCUUAUCUGCCACGGCCGGCUGCUCUGGAGGAAUUCCUGCACGUCUUCUGGCGGCAGAACUUCGCUCUGGCUGCGGGGGGAUGUCGGAGGGAAUGCUGCGUCCUGGUUUGUGCCACACAGAGAGGCACUGCGGUGCUUUGCACCUGAGCCCGGGGUCCCCUCAGCUCUGCUGGAGGAGGUGAGAGGGCGGUGGGGUCACGCUGGUGGCACUGCCGGGCUCCCCUGGCACAGGGGUGAGCCGCAGCGUGCUGCUGGUGCAGCAGAGGUGUGUGGCACAGCAGCAGGAGCGGUGUGAGCUGCCUCUCCGCGUCCCGUCAGCUGAGGAAUAGCGUGGAGGAAUGAAUUCCAGUGAGUUGGAUGAGGAAAAUGUAAACACUGCGUUCUCGUCGGGCAAACAGCAGUCGUGGAAAUAAAUGUCUCUGGGAUUCCUUGUGGUGCUCAUCGACUGCCCGAUCCCUCGUGGUCUCUUGUUGAACUGGUGGGGUGGCUGCUGCUGCUCCCCCAGCUCUGAGUGCUUUGCCAGCAGUUUGGGCAAAACACAAGUAAACACCAUUGGGUUGACCCGGCAUAUCUGAGGUCUUGGUAUGCUGAAAAUGUUUGUUCUUGGGAUGUUUGUGCAGUCUGGAGGGCUCUGUACUUUAAGUCCCAUUUGCUGAGGACUGUGACUUGUUUAAUCUGUCUGAAGAACCUGUGCUUUUGGGGCUUGUUCUGUGAGAUUGAGUAAGUUUGGGCAAAGCCUGGAGGUGCUGCAGGAAGAGAGGUUAGUUCAUUAACCAGCGGUCACGCAGGUGUGCAUAUUUCCUGCUCCGCCGCGUUUUCCUACCUUUGUAUUUUCCUGCAUUUAUUCACUGACUCGAUUCUGGUCUGGAUUGAAGUUCAUUGAAGUGGGAAAGGCGCUCGGGACUGCUUGGUGUUGCUUUGCUUUUCCUGAGUGUGCCGGCCGUGCUGGGCUGCCUGCAUCCUGGGAUGGGCGGUGAAUAGAAGCCGAAGCUCCUGUCUGGAGGGCAGCCUAUGCCUGAGGUGUCAGCAGGGCUCAGUAACCCAAAUGGUCACACGAAGGAGUGGAUAAGCACAGAGCCCCAGAGGAGGGGGCCCAGCCUGGAGGAGGAGGAGGAGGCAGCGGGCGCUGGUGCUGCAGCGGUGAGUUAGCACAGGGCACUCUCAAAAGGGCCCUUCUCUUCCCCACUCUCAGCUGUGCCCUCCUGCCUCCUCCCACGUGCCAGCUGUGGUGCUGAGCCCGUGCAUUGAUGAACUGACCCAGCUCGCUUGGCAUUCAAUUGUUCUUUUCAUGGUGGGUUUUUUUUCCGUGUGAGCAUUUCCCUGCUGGUCAGGAGGGGACUCAGACCGGGCUGGCAGGCAGGGAGCCCUCUGCCAGCACGGCUCUCCACUGAGGUCCCUCCUGUGGGGUUACUGCCCUGCUUGCUGCACCUGCAGGUGUGCUGUAGGGCUGCAGGGCCGGGUGGUGAUUCCUGAUGGGAUCCCUAUGUGUUCCCCCUGGCAGAUCCUUGCAUGCGAGGGGCAGGGCGUGGGGACAGCGGUAGAUCCCAUCCCAGCACUGGAGAGGAGAGUGCUCGGUUUCAUGUUGGGGUUUUCUUCAGCAAAACAGGCUCCUGGCCUCAUCUGCUCCGUGAACAGAUGUGUGAAUGAGGGACUCUGCUGACGAGUUCUCCCUUUUUUUUUUUCCUCUUUUCACAUGUUGUGGUCUCACCGCAAUGCUCAGCUGUGGCAUUUGCCAUUGCGGUGACCCUGACCGAGGAUACGGGCUGUAUUUUCUCACGUGCUUUCUGAGAAGAGCUCAGCUCCUGGAGGGCAACGGGGUGGCUUCAGAAAGAUUUCAGAUCCUGGCUCAGAGCUCUACCACAAAUUGCUUUAAAAGCCUCUGUGCAGCGUUGGGUUCUGCAGUGCUCCUCGGGAGGAUCUGACUGGUGG